GGGCUGGCUUCCUGAAGAUAAGUAAAGCCCCAUUGUUGCUCUCAACUGUUACAGAGGGUCCGGACGUGUUAUCAUCUGACGACUAUGAAAAGAGCUGGCUUCCAGUGGCAACCCUGAAUGCACCUAGUGAGAUGGCCACAAGAAGGAAGCAGACUGGAUCCCUGAGUGACCUUGGAAGGGACUACCCCAGUGAGUUGACAGACCUGCCACGGAUCUUGAGUGAACAAUAAAUCAGCUUUUAUGUGUCAAUCCAUUGGAAUUUAGAGCUUUGUGUUUAUCACAGUAAAGCCUGGCCUACCCGGAAUCACACAACAGCCUUAGAGAUUACAGCCACAGAAGAGCAAAAGGUCAUUGUAACUUCUAGGAUAUUCCUUACACAGGAUAUCUGAUAUG
rnacentral:lncRNA from 1 species